rnacentral:rRNA from 1 species
UUUGAUGGCGACCGGCGCACGGGUGAGUAACACGUAUCCAACCUGCCGAUGACUCGGGGAUAGCCUUUCGAAAGAAAGAUUAAUAUCCGAUGGCAUAGUUCUUCCGCAUGGUGGAACUAUUAAAGAAUUUCGGUCAUCGAUGGGGAUGCGUUCCAUUAGGUUGUUGGCGGGGUAACGGCCCACCAAGCCUUCGAUGGAUAGGGGUUCUGAGAGGAAGGUCCCCCACAUUGGAACUGAGACACGGUCCAAACUCCUACGGGAGGCAGCAUG